GCUGCUGCUCGUAGUUUGGGGGCUUCUGCUGGUGUUCAGGAAGCUGAUAGCUAGAUACUAAAGAUCUAAUAAAAAGACUCCACACUGAACUGUAGCGUUGCAUUAGACCAAAGCAGCGGCUCCUGAAAAGGCAUCAAAAUGGGUUUCUGCAUUUGCUGCUGGCAUUCAGCCUAGCCAAUGACCAAUUUGACCAUUUAAAAGUGAUAUUUUUAUUCUUUUGUCAAAUUUGGACAGUAGAACCAUGUCAUGGCAGGAACACAAUUGAGAACUUUAUAUCAUUGAAGGAUUUGAUGGAAUUUUCAAUGAAGCAAAAGGUACAGAAUGCAAACUUCUCAACUUCUGAGUUGCUGUUGGGGCUUGUAGCUAGGAUGCUUGUAGCUUGGAUGCUGCGGCUGGGGCUUGUAGCUGGGCUGCUGCUGGGGCUGCUGCGGCUUGUAGCUAGGAUGUUGCUGCGGCUGCUGCUGCUGGGGCUUGUAGCUAGGAUGUUGCUGCUGCUGCUGCUGGGGCUUGUAGCUAGGAUGUUGCUGCUGCUGCUGCUGCUGCUGCUGGAUGAUGGGAUGCUGCUGCUGCUGGGGCUUGUAGCUGGGAUGCUGCUGCUGCUGCUGGGGCUUGUAGCUGGGAUGAUGCUGCUGCUGCUGGGGCUUGUAGCUAGGAUGUUGCUGCUGCUGGGGCUUGUAGCUAGGAUGCUGCUGCUGCUGCUGCUGGGCUUGUAGCUAGGAUGCUGCUGCUGCUGCUGCUGCUGGGGCUUGUAGCUAGGAUGUUGCUGCUGCUGCUGCUGCUGCUGGGGCUUGUAGCU
ensembl:lncRNA